UACGAAGGGGGCUAGCGUUGUUCGGAAUUACUGGGCGUAAAGCGCACGUAGGCGGAUUGUUAAGUCAGAGGUGAAAUCCCGGAGCUCAACUUCGGAACUGCCUUUGAUACUGGCAAUCUAGAGUCCGGAAGAGGUUAGUGGAAUUCCCAGUGUAGAGGUGAAAUUCGUAGAUAUUAGGAAGAACACCGGUGGCGAAGGCGGCCCACUGGAUCGGUACUGACGCUGAGGUGCGAAAGCGUGGGGAGCAAACAGG
rnacentral:rRNA from 1 species